GCGACGCUGGCGGCGUGCCUCCUACAUGCAGUCGAGCGGACGGAUGGGAGCUUGCUCCCUGAAGUCAGCGGCGGACGGGUGAGUAACACGUGGGCAACCUGCCUGUAAGACUGGGAUAACUCCGGGAAACCGGGGCUAAUACCGGAUAACUCUUUUCCUCACAUGAGGAAAAGCUGAAAGAUGGUUUCGGCUAUCACUUACAGAUGGGCCCGCGGCGCAUUAGCUAGUUGGUGAGGUAACGGCUCACCAAGGCCACGAUGCGUAGCCGACCUGAGAGGGUGAUCGGCCACACUGGGACUGAGACACGGCCCAGACUCCUACGGGAGGCAGCAGUAGGGAAUCUUCCGCAAUGGACGAAAGUCUGACGGAGCAACGCCGCGUGAGUGAUGAAGGUUUUCGGAUCGUAAAACUCUGUUGUCAGGGAAGAACAAGUACCGGAGUAACUGCCGGUACCUUGACGGUACCUGACCAGAAAGCCACGGCUAACUACGUGCCAGCAGCCGCGGUAAUACGUAGGGUGGCAAGCGUUGUCCGGAAUUAUUGGGCGUAAGGCGCGCGCAGGCGUUCCUUAAAUUCUGAUGUGAAGCCCCCCGGCUCCACCGGGGAGGGUUCAUUGGAACUGGGGAACUUGAGUUGCGAAAAAAGAGUGGAUUCCACCUGUAGCGGUGAAUGCGUAAAAUGUGGAAGGAACCAGGGCGAGGCACUCUUGUCUGUACUUAACCUUAGGCGAACCGGGGGACAAGAAUGAUUCUGGAUCCCCCCUUACAUAGGUCUAUGGUUAAGGUUUCCCUUUUGGUCGCACAAACGUAGGUCUCCCCUGGGGAUGCCCCAGCUAACCAAAUAGGGGCCGACGUUGACUGUUUUUUAAGGCGGAAUCUCUGGGAAUCUGGAACAU
rnacentral:rRNA from 2 species